CUUUUCCUCCCCUGUGAACAACUCGAUGUUCUUUGUUAGCUCUGUGCAGGCGUCGUCUUAUGUUGCGUUAUAUCUGGAGAAACAAGCGAGGGACUAUUUUGAAAAUUGAAAGCUUUUGGAGAUUUUUGGACGAGAAAGAACCCACCCGGAGCAUUGACUAUAUGGUUGCUCUCUUUUUGAGGGCAUAAAUAUUGCCCCCGCAGAAUUAUUAAUCUAACUCGGUAGCAGCAAGCAUAUGGUUGCAAUAACGGAUGGCACAGUGAUACAAACAACUUUAGAACCAAGGCAGGCUAGCACCUUAUCUGGCUUCAUGCUCGUCAAUAGGCAAGUUUCGUUUUGAAGGCUGGAAUUUAGGAUAUGGCAGCGAGCAUGAAGUGAUGGAAGCUGGAAUUUGGGAAGAAGAGAAACUCACGAGAAACAUUAUGUGGGGGCGAUGCAGAUGGAUAUGGAAUAAUAAAUGAUUAAAUAUAUUGUUGGCAUGUAGGAAAUCCCGAGCAGAGCGGGUGGCUUCUGAUCCAUGUUUUAGUUAUUUUCAUAAUUACUACUUUAACAUUCACAUGCCCUGUUGUUUUCACAGCUUUUGCUGUAGUUGAGAUAAUCUCUCUCCGCCAUCCCCUUCUUACUUCUUAGCUGAGCGCCUGUCGUACCUGUCCUUUUCUGUCCAACCCUCCCUCUCAAGUUCUCAAAUAUUUUAUUUUAUUUUAUUUUAUUUUAUGAAAAAGGGGAGAAACCAGCGGUCUUAAUUGAUUUCAUUGUCACAGUAAGAGAGAUCUAAUCAUUUGUGAUUACUUGUAUUAUUGUUUUUGUCCAUUAUCUCUCAUUCCAUUUCUACUCUUACUAUAUGUUGUUGAGUAAUGUGUAAGUUAAUCAAAAGCAACUUUUUAUUUUGUUUU